UACGGAGGGGGCUAGCGUUGUUCGGAAUUACUGGGCGUAAAGCGCACGUAGGCGGCUUUGUGAGUUAGAGGUGAAAGCCCGGAGCUCAACUCCGGAAUUGCCUUUAAGACUGCAUCGCUAGAAUUGUGGAGAGGUAAGUGGAAUUCCGAGUGUAGAGGUGAAAUUCGUAGAUAUUCGGAAGAACACCAGUGGCGAAGGCGGCUCACUGGACCGGCAUUGACGCUGAUGUGCGAAAGCGUGGGGAGCAAACAGG
rnacentral:rRNA from 1 species